rnacentral:rRNA from 1 species
AUUGAACGCUGGCGGCAGGCUUAACACAUGCAAGUCGAGCGGGGGAAGGUAGCUUGCUACCGGACCUAGCGGCGGACGGGUGAGUAAUGCUUAGGAAUCUGCCUAUUAGUGGGGGACAACAUCUCGAAAGGGAUGCUAAUACCGCAUACGUCCUACGGGAGAAAGCAGGGGAUCUUCGGACCUUGCGCUAAUAGAUGAGCCUAAGUCAGAUUAGCUAGUUGGUGGGGUAAAGGCCUACCAAGGCGACGAUCUGUAGCGGGUCUGAGAGGAUGAUCCGACACACUGGGACUGGGACACGGCCCAGACUCCUACGGGAGGCAGCAGUGGGGAAUAUUGGACAAUGGGGGGAACCCUGAUCCAGCCAUGCCGCGUGUGUGAAGAAGGCCUUAUGGUUGUAAAGCACUUUAAGCGAGGAGGAGGCUACUUUAGUUAAUACCUAGAGAUAGUGGACGUUACUCGCAGAGUAAGCACCGGCUAACUCUGUGCCAGCCGCCGCAGUAA